rnacentral:rRNA from 1 species
AGAGUUUGAUCAUGGCUCAGGAUGAACGCUGGCGGUAUGCUUAACACAUGCAAGUCGAACGAAAUCUUCGGAUUUAGUGGCGGACGGGUGAGUAACGCGUGAGAAUCUACUCUUAGAUUGGGGACAACAGUUGGAAACGACUGCUAAUACCGAAUGUGCCGAAAGGUAAAAGAUUUAUCGUCUGAGAAUGAGCUCGCGUUGGAUUAGCUAGUUGGAGUGGUAAUGGCACACCAAGGCGACGAUCCAUAACUGGUCUGAGAGGAUGACCAGUCACACUGGGACUGAGACACGGCCCAGACUCCUACGGGAGGCAGCAGUGGGGAAUUUUCCGCAAUGGGCGAAAGCCUGACGGAGCAAUACCGCGUGAGGGAGGAAGGCUCUUGGGUCGUAAACCUCUUUUAUUAGGGAAGAAGAUCUGACGGUACCUAAGAAUCCAGCAUA